CAAAUUACUCUCCUCUCGACUUCCACCUCUCUACGUUCGGUGCACGAGAUUGAGUGAGAACGUGUACUUCGGUUUCUCUUCGAAAAACAAAAGGAAACAUUUGAUUUUGUUUAUGGGACCUGCUCUACUCCAUUUCCACAAAUAUGCCCUUUAAAACGACGGUGGAUUUGACUUUAAUUCCGGAACUGAUAGCCCUCUUCUUUUUAUUCGGAUCGGUAUUUAUUUUCUCCCUAUUGCAAAUGACUUCUAUAUUAUUUCGUUGGCCUUUCCGAAUCAUGCCAGAGAUGGGACGAGUAGAAGGCAUACCUGAUAUGCAAAUGUAACCACACCUAACUCGGGGCCUCAGUCACAGCUAAGACCAGAAUCCAGCCGGACUCAGGCAUGGAAGUGACGGAACUGCCUCUGCGCUACAAUCGGUUAUCAUUUCGGAACAUCUUGGUAAUUAGUUCCUUCCACGGCACCUUCGCUUAAAAGGCAAGUCUUGAGAAAUGGAACCAAUUUAUAAAAUGUGUAAUGUGUUUUAAAAGGACUGUAUUGGUUUUGACGGAAAAUGAAAUUAGAAUUAUACCUGAAGAAAAA